rnacentral:rRNA from 1 species
UUAAGUUAUUAAGGGCGCACGGUGGAUGCCUUGGCACUAGAAGCCGAUGAAGGACGUUACUAACGACGAUAUGCUUUGGGGAGCUGUAAGUAAGCUUUGAUCCAGAGAUUUCCGAAUGGGGAAACCCAGCAUGAGUUAUGUCAUGUUAUCGAUAUGUGAAUACAUAGCAUAUCAGAAGGCACACCCGGAGAACUGAAACAUCUUAGUACCCGGAGGAAGAGAAAGAAAAUUCGAUUCCCUUAGUAGCGGCGAGCGAAACGGGAAGAGCCCAAACCAACAAGCUUGCUUGUUGGGGUUGUAGGACACUCUAUACGGAGUUACAAAGGACGACAUUAGACGAAUCAUCUGGAAAGAUGAAUCAAAGAAGGUAAUAAUCCUGUAGUCGAAAAUGUUGUCUCUCUUGAGUGGAUCCUGAGUACGACGGAGCACGUGAAAUUCCGUCGGAAUCUGGGAGGACCAUCUCCUAAGGCUAAAUACUCUCUAGUGACCGAUAGUGAACCAGUACCGUGAGGGAAAGGUGAAAAGCACCCCGGAAGGGGAGUGAAAUAGAACCUGAAACCGUGUGCUUACAAGUAGUCAGAGCCCGUUAAUGGGUGAUGGCGUGCCUUUUGUAGAAUGAACCGGCGAGUUACGAUUUGAUGCAAGGUUAAGCAGUAAAUGUGGAGCCGUAGCGAAAGCGAGUCUGAAUAGGGCGUUUAGUAUUUGGUCGUAGACCCGAAACCAGGUGAUCUACCCUUGGUCAGGUUGAAGUUCAGGUAACACUGAAUGGAGGACCGAACCGACUUACGUUGAAAAGUGAGCGGAUGAACUGAGGGUAGCGGAGAAAUUCCAAUCGAACCUGGAGAUAGCUGGUUCUCUCCGAAAUAGCUUUAGGGCUAGCCUCAAGUGAUGAUUAUUGGAGGUAGAGCACUGUUUGGACGAGGGGCCCCUCUCGGGUUACCGAAUUCAGACAAACUCCGAAUGCCAAUUAAUUUAACUUGGGAGUCAGAACAUGGGUGAUAAGGUCCGUGUUCGAAAGGGAAACAGCCCAGACCACCAGCUAAGGUCCCAAAAUAUAUGUUAAGUGGAAAAGGAUGUGGCGUUGCCCAGACAACUAGGAUGUUGGCUUAGAAGCAGCCAUCAUUUAAAGAGUGCGUAAUAGCUCACUAGUCGAGUGACACUGCGCCGAAAAUGUACCGGGGCUAAACAUAUUACCGAAGCUGUGGAUUGUCCUUUGGACAAUGGUAGGAGAGCGUUCUAAGGGCGUUGAAGCAUGAUCGUAAGGACAUGUGGAGCGCUUAGAAGUGAGAAUGCCGGUGUGAGUAGCGAAAGACGGGUGAGAAUCCCGUCCACCGAUUGACUAAGGUUUCCAGAGGAAGGCUCGUCCGCUCUGGGUUAGUCGGGUCCUAAGCUGAGGCCGACAGGCGUAGGCGAUGGAUAACAGGUUGAUAUUCCUGUACCACCUAUAAUCGUUUUAAUCGAUGGGGGGACGCAGUAGGAUAGGCGAAGCGUGCGAUUGGAUUGCACGUCUAAGCAGUAAGGCUGAGUAUUAGGCAAAUCCGGUACUCGUUAAGGCUGAGCUGUGAUGGGGAGAAGACAUUGUGUCUUCGAGUCGUUGAUUUCACACUGCCGAGAAAAGCCUCUAGAUAGAAAAUAGGUGCCCGUACCGCAAACCGACACAGGUAGUCAAGAUGAGAAUUCUAAGGUGAGCGAGCGAACUCUCGUUAAGGAACUCGGCAAAAUGACCCCGUAACUUCGGGAGAAGGGGUGCUCUUUAGGGUUAACGCCCAGAAGAGCCGCAGUGAAUAGGCCCAAGCGACUGUUUAUCAAAAACACAGGUCUCUGCUAAACCGUAAGGUGAUGUAUAGGGGCUGACGCCUGCCCGGUGCUGGAAGGUUAAGAGGAGUGGUUAGCUUCUGCGAAGCUACGAAUCGAAGCCCCAGUAAACGGCGGCCGUAACUAUAACGGUCCUAAGGUAGCGAAAUUCCUUGUCGGGUAAGUUCCGACCCGCACGAAAGGCGUAACGAUUUGGGCACUGUCUCAACGAGAGACUCGGUGAAAUCAUAGUACCUGUGAAGAUGCAGGUUACCCGCGACAGGACGGAAAGACCCCGUGGAGCUUUACUGUAGCCUGAUAUUGAAAUUCGGCACAGCUUGUACAGGAUAGGUAGGAGCCUUUGAAACGUGAGCGCUAGCUUACGUGGAGGCGCUGGUGGGAUACUACCCUAGCUGUGUUGGCUUUCUAACCCGCACCACUUAUCGUGGUGGGAGACAGUGUCAGGCGGGCAGUUUGACUGGGGCGGUCGCCUCCUAAAAGGUAACGGAGGCGCUCAAAGGUUCCCUCAGAAUGGUUGGAAAUCAUUCAUAGAGUGUAAAGGCAUAAGGGAGCUUGACUGCGAGACCUACAAGUCGAGCAGGGUCGAAAGACGGACUU